GAUGAAGAACGCAGCGAAAUGCGAUACGUAAUGUGAAUUGCAGAAUUCAGUGAAUCAUCGAGUCUUUGAACGCACAUUGCGCCCCCUGGUAUUCCGGGGGGCAUGCCUGUCCGAGCGUCAUUGCUGCCCUCAAGCACGGCUUGUGUGUUGGGCCUCCGUCCUCCUCCCGGGGGACGGGCCCGAAAGGCAGCGGCGGCACCGCGUCCGGUCCUCGAGCGUAUGGGGCUUCGUCACCCGCUCUUGUAGGCCCGGCCGGCGCUUGCCGACACAUCAAUCUUUUUUCCAGGUUGACCUCGGAUCAGGUAGGGAUACCCGCUGAACUUAAGCAUAUAAUAACGGAGGA
rnacentral:misc_RNA from 1 species